rnacentral:lncRNA from 1 species
AUGAUGGAGUACUGUCACUGGCGAUUUGCAGCUACUGAAAUUACUAGAAGAAACCUCAGAAACUCCAUGAUCAAAAACUGCCUUCAAGGGCGCCACCCCGCCAUUAUCUACUUCAUCAAUAUCUUUAGCCUUAGGCAUCUGCCUCAGCCUCUUCACCCUCCUCUUCGUUUGCUGACUCAAAACCCCAGCUGGAUGGGGAUGGGAAUCGGAAUCGUAAUCAUAAUCGGAGGAACGUGGACGCUUGAAAGAACGGGGAUUGGGUUUUGCACAGACAUUGUGGUUGCGAUUGUUCAAAGAAUUCAGAUUAAGCUUCAAAUCUUCAAGCCUCAUUGUCACCAAACCAAUUAA